AGUGGCGGACGGGUGAGUAACGCGUGGGUAACCUGCCUCACACUGGGGGAUAGCAGUUGGAAACGACUGAUAAUACCGCAUAAGCGCACAGUAAUCGCAUGAUACAGUGUGAAAAACUCCGGUGGUGUGAGAUGGACCCGCGUCUGAUUAGCUAGUUGGUGAGGUAACGGCCGACCCAAGGCAACGAUCCAGUAGCCGGCCUGAGAGGGUGUACGGCCACAUUGGGACUGAGACACGGCCCAAACUCCUACGGGAGGCAGCAGUGGGGAAUAUUGGACAAUGGGGGAAACCCUGAUCCAAGCGACGCCGCGUGAACGAAGAAGUAUCUCGGUAUGUAAAGUUCUAUCAGCAGGGAAGUAUAAUGACGGUACCUGACUAAGAAGCACCGGCUAAAUACGUGCCAGCAGCCGC
rnacentral:rRNA from 1 species